rnacentral:rRNA from 1 species
CGUGUAGGCGGUCAGGUAAGUGGAAUGUGAAAUGCCCCGGCUCACCCGCGGACCGGCAUCCCAAACUGCCUGGCUUGAGUAUGGGAGAGGAUGGAGGAAUUCCUGGUGUAGCGGUGAAAUGCGUAGAUAUCAGGAGGAACACCGGUGGCGAAGGCGUCCAUCUGGCCCAAUACUGACGCUGAGGCGCGAAAGCUAGGGGAGCAAACG